UCUUCAGGGGGUGAUAUGUCGAUUCCUGCCUUCUCACGCGUGCAUGCCCAGAACGAGAUACUUUUUGCAUCUCUUCACACAUCAGAUUAGUGUAAAAUUUUUCCACAAAAACCUUUAUUCAAAAAGAAAGGCCAUCACUAAAUGACAUAUUAUUUGGACACAUUAUUUGGAUAAGAGUUCAUAUGUGGGAAGGAUUCUUCACCAA
rnacentral:lncRNA from 1 species